rnacentral:rRNA from 1 species
GACGAACGCUGGCGGCGUGCUUAACACAUGCAAGUCGAACGGAAAGGCCCUGCUUGCGGGGUGCUCGAGUGGCGAACGGGCGAGUAACACGCGGGUGGAUAGCCCCUUACUUUGAGAGAAGCCUGGGCAACUGGGCCUAAUACAUGCUAGGAAAAUGCUGUAGGCGGUGGGUUGGAAAGUUUAGGUUCGGUUUGGGAUGGGCUCGCGGCCUAUCAGCGUGUUGCUGGGGUAAUGGCCGACCAAGGCGUCGACGGGGCGCCGGCCUGAGAGGGUGGACGGCCACGUUGGGACUGCGAUACGGCCCAGACUCCUACGAGAGGCAGCAGUGGGGAAUAUUGCACAAUGGGCGCAAGCGUGAUGCAGCUACGGCGCGUGGGGGCUGACGGCCUUCGGGUUGGGAACGCCUUACAGCCAUGGCGAAGCCCUUGGGGUGACGGUAAUGGUAGAAGAAACACCGGCUAACUACGGG